GAGGGAUAAUGACGGGGGACCGUUCACAGGAGUAAAGCGCUGGCCAGUGUGACUGAUUCAAGGACAUCGUUCCUGUGAUCUGUGCAGACGGCCACCUUACGUCUUGCCUGAAUCACGAUAUUGGAAAGAAACUGUUCAAAAGAAAAGAGAAACUGCAAUAGAGGAAAGGGAAAAGAAAGGAAGGGAAAAGAAAAAAAAAUAUAUAUGUGUGUACGCCCAAGAUAGGGUCCCACUGCAUAGCCCAGACAGGCCUUUAACUCAAAGGGAUCCUCCUGCCUCAGCUUCCAGACUGCUAUGAUUACAGGU